AGCAGUCGCCGCGGUAAUACAGAGGGUGCAAGCGUUAAUCGGAAUUACUGGGCGUAAAGCGCGCGUAGGUGGUUUGUUAAGUUGGAUGUGAAAGCCCCGGGCUCAACCUGGGAACUGCAUCCAAAACUGGCAAGCUAGAGUACGGUAGAGGGUGGUGGAAUUUCCUGUGUAGCGGUGAAAUGCGUAGAUAUAGGAAGGAACACCAGUGGCGAAGGCGACCACCUGGACUGAUACUGACACUGAGGUGCGAAAGCGUGGGGAGCAAACAGGAUUAGAUACCCGUGUAGUCCCUGUCUCUUAUAC
rnacentral:rRNA from 1 species